UAUCAAUACCGACAGAAGCUGCACCUCGAUCUUUCUUUGGGCUCGUUUUUCUCUCCGGUAGCAACAGAUUAUAUGAUUCUGGUCAGUACCUUUCAUGGGAAAAUAGUCCAACAAGAAGAGCUGUUUGAUAGCAGGGGAUGCUGGACAAUGUAAUUCUUAUCCUUUCUUUGGACUGCUCUUCAUCUCUCUGAGUUUACCUGUAUGCAGGUUAAUAAAUAAGAUACAGAUGCAGCCUGCAUAUGUUCAUAUUCUUAGCAGGCUGCUGUUCAAUAAUUAUAUACUCCAUCUGUUUUGAUUUGGGGUAUUAUAGCAGAUAUGGUGGUCUUUGUUAUUUUGCUUGAGUUGUUGCGCCGUUGGUUUUAGCCGCUUUUCAUCUGCAGUCUUGUUUCUAAUACUGCAUUCAUGGAAUGAUGGCUUAACGGAAUGGUGAGUGUUCAAAUUCUUAACAGGCUGCUGUUUUCGCUUGCAACUGACAGUACGAUAUUACCAGAGGCAGUGGUCAUUGUUUGAGUUGUUUAUCUGAUGGUUUAGUAGCUUUUCAUUCUUUUUUUUUGGGUUUUGUUUUACCAGCACCAUUCUCGUUACUAUCACGGAAUUGUCGUUUUUAUUUUCUGUCUGUGUCCUAUGGUAUUGAUCAACUGGAGGUCAUGAACACAUGUUUUGCCAAUGAGUAUUCCAGUACUGUGAAAGGCCUUCAAAGUCAAAUGCAAUGAUUUCUGCAAUUCCGUACAGAAUUCUGCUA